CUCUAAGUCCACCCUCAGUGGCUGUCUAACAGACAGCCACUAGAGGGCUUCCAGAAUCCAAACUGACGCUGGACGUCCUCACUGAACUCCAGCUUCAGAUUUUCCCCAUGCCUUGCAUGCGCAUUAGGUCUCCCGCACCGACGAGGGACAUCAGCGCUGGAUUUAGGCAAGUGGCUGAAGGGAUCGGGAGGGGAGGCGCUAUUAACCCUAUAGUGCCUGGAAAACAGCUUUGUUUUCCUGGCAUUAUAGUAUCCCUUUAAGCACCCAUUAUCGGUAACAUACUAAUUUUUCUGGUUCCAGGCCAAGUUCCCACAGGUAAUUACAAAACUUGUACAUCAUUUGGAUACUUGUUCAAAAAUCAAACCACCAUUUUAGAAUGGUUUGACUUC